rnacentral:rRNA from 1 species
UACGAAGGGGGCUAGCGUUGUUCGGAUUUACUGGGCGUAAAGCGCACGUAGGCGGAUUGUUAAGUCAGGGGUGAAAUCCCGGAGCUCAACUCCGGAACUGCCUUUGAUACUGGCAAUCUAGAGUCCGGAAGAGGUGAGUGGAAACUCCUAGUGUAGAGGUGGAAUUCGUAGAUAUUAGGAAGAAACACCAGUGGCGAAGGCGGCUCACUGGUCCGGUACUGACGCUGAGGUGCGAAAGCGUGGGGAGCAAACAGGAUUAG